AUCUCGGACGCUGCUUCUGUCUAUCCAGUACGCGCAGGUGCCUGGAGCCAUGGAUAUGACUUGCUAGCGCUGAUCCUCUUCUAGUUGCAGGCUGCACGAGUUGGUAUGAUGUCACGCGUGACGCCGCGUCCCGCAAGGUGUCUGCUGGACGGCACUGUCUGCGGGUAACGGGUAUGGCGUGCUGCUACGGGUUGCUGUUACAGUGGACGCGCACCGCACAGGGGUUUUCAGUGCAGGUUUUGAGCGGGGCUCUGCGAAUGCAAACACGAAUGCUUGGGCGUCAGUGUGACUUGGCGUCACGUUCGUGCAGACCGAGCUUAUCGGGAACGGGUGCACGAUACACGCUGCCAUUAGCUUCUGAUCGCCCGGCGGAGGAGGUUGGUACGACGCAGUCUUGGUCGUUUCUCCUCAAGCCGUCGUUUCUUCUGAGGCACUUACUAAGACUCUUUACGGCUCGUCGGCAUUCGUUUGGUGCAGCGGUAAAGCAUCCAGGCGGCUUUUGGUGCACCAAGCGGUCCGUUUCGAGACUUGUUCACAGUGCGUUGCGCUUGUGACCGGGUUGCUUCGCAUCCUUGGUCAAUUGAUAUCGGAAUAUGUGUCACGCUUGUGUGGCCGCGCAACGACGUUGCCGGUUGAUUGAAGACUCUCUUGACGGAGGCAAACAUCGACGAGCGAGAAGUUUCCAUUUGCUGCGAUCGAUUGCUUGAGUCUUUCGGAAUCAAGCCUUGGUGUAUAUCUAGUUAAUUCAGGCAAUCGUGAUCGCUAUCUGCGAAAUUCCCGCUGUCUCGCCAACAUCAUCCGAUUUGGGCUUCUGAGGCAGUGCGGGAACCAUAGCAGUGGACGAACUUUGCGAAUGGCCGUCCUCACGUCUGAGAACGACAAAGGAGUAACACCACACGCGUCAAGCAUCCUAGCUGGAACUCUAUGCAGUGUGGAACGAUGUGGCAUGCUCGCGAAUACCGAAUCAUGGAAGAGCAUUAUCGUUUGUCCAUUUUCUGAGCAAAGCGUUCCCGGUUUAUGUAUAUUGGACUGCAUCCUUGCUGGUUUGUUGAUCAUUCUGUACCAGAGGAUUGCUCCGGGCGAGAAGAAGUUGUCCGGCGCUUGGCCACGUAUCCCUUUUCAUCAAAAGUCUUCAGCAUUUUAGCAAAAUGCACUUACUGAUUGCUUAGAGAUUUCCGCGAAAGUUCGCUCGACACAAAACCGCGGGACGUUUCGGAUACAUGUGAAAUUUCCGAAUGUUGUUUCCAAGGUGUUCGAGUCCUGGUGCGGAAAGUGCCUGCGCGCAUAGUUGCUAGAGAAACCGCACCAUCACAAGCCACUGAACUGCGUUUGCCUCAUAAUCUGUCAUUCGGUGAGCUCACUGCACACCUUCCCGUGCACCUGUCUCUAUUUCGUGCUCUGUCUCUGUGACGGUGUCAAUGUACACCUGGAAUCGUGGUGCAUGUAUGGCGCCCAGAAUUUUUCGAUAGGUAACCUGCGGAAUCGGGUACUGGAGUCGCCGUCAUCGUCGUCCGCUCUCGUCCGAGCAGGAGUGCAGCCUGUGCGCGCUGGAGCACGUCCAGCCCAAUACGAUACCAGGAAACGACGCGACGUAUUGGUCAUUUUCUUAGCCAGCACGUUGAACGCUUCGGCGAAUACGCGUUUCGUGCUUCCGCGUUACCGAAGAAGUUCUCGACCGCAGCGCGGUCUCAUGGUUUUCUACCAAAGAUCGUCCGCAUGUGCGAUUUCGACGCUCGUUUUCGCUUUGAAUCAAGAAUGCAAUGCAUCCGUCUUCGCUCAGUACGGUGCUCCGAGCGUCUAGAUGGGCAAUGAGUGCGCCUAUCCGCUUGGUAAUAUGCCUGCUGGCGUCGUGCAUGCGUGACUCCCGACAAAAUCCUGGCAUGGAAAAGAAGAGCAGCAUCAUUUGCUUCCCGUUCAGAUCUUCGGGUCCGUCCUCAUGAUUUAGAAGUACGACAACGGCCAAGACAUCUUUCAACUCAGGAGUUUUACGCUCUAUCAAAUCUUUCUCUUCAUCUACCUGGAUCAGUUGAACAUGAGUUUCGUUGGUUUUCUUAUAACUAGGUUUCAUAAAGUGCAUGCAGAUAGAUAUUCCAU
rnacentral:misc_RNA from 1 species